rnacentral:ncRNA from 2 species
UACAAAAUAUAGGUUGCACUUCAUAUAAUUUUGAAAAUAUGGUUCAAAAGUCUCUACAAAUCACCGUAAAUGAUUUACUAUGAAGGCAGUUUUAUUCUAC